UACAGAGGUCUCAAGCGUUGUUCGGAUUCAUUGGGCGUAAAGGGUGCGUAGGCGGCGCGGUAAGUCGGGUGUGAAAUCUCGGGGCUUAACUCCGAAACUGCAUUCGAUACUGCCGUGCUUGAGGACUGGAGAGGAGACUGGAAUUUACGGUGUAGCGGUGAAAUGCGUAGAUAUCGUAAGGAAGACCAGUGGCGAAGGCGGGUCUCUGAACAGUUCCUGACGCUGAUGCACGAAGGCCAGGGGAGCAAACGGG
rnacentral:rRNA from 1 species